rnacentral:misc_RNA from 1 species
UUUCCGUAGGUGAACCUGCGGAAGGAUCAUUAUUGGAUUUUGAAACUUCAGGCUGCUGCUGGCUCUCCUCGGAGGGCAUGUGCACGCUUGUUGUCCAUUAUUUCUCCCACUGUGCACAAAUUGUAGACCUUUCAGUAGGCCUAUGUUGUUUUUCACAAUCUCUGAAUGUAAUAGAAUGGUUUUGAAUCUUGGGAAAUACAAUACAACUUUCAGCAACGGAUCUCUUGGUUCUG